GCCCCAGUGGCCUAAUGGAUAAGGCAUCGGCCUCCUAAGCCGGGGAUUGUGGGUUCGAGUCCCAUCUGGGGUG
rnacentral:tRNA from 2 species